GCAGCCGCUCCGGGGGCGCCCGCCCGGCCCGCACCCCCGCCCCGCGCCCCGGCCCGCGUCCUGGCUUUCCCGCGCCGCACUUGAUGAAGAAGACGCGGCCGUCCCGGCACACGCCGUAGGACCAGUGCUCAGAAGCAAAUCACAGUCCUGGCAGAUUGAUGGGGAGGAUGACUAGACCCCAGCUCUUGAGCGGAGAAUGAAGAGUGUGGGCCUCCCCUACCCAGCACGGGGCCGUGGACUUGAGCAGAGACCAGCUAGACAUGGGUGGAGAGUGACUCCCAGAAUUAAAUGAGAUAGGACUUCCCUGGUGGUCCAGUGGAUAAGAAU